UAAGACGGAGGGCGCUAGCGUUGUCCGGAAUCACUGGGCGUAAAGGGCGCGCAGGCGGCCGCGUCAGUCGGGCGUGAAAGCCCGGGGCUCAACCCCGGGACGGCGCCCGGGACGGCGCGGCUGGAGGCCGGGAGAGGGGGGUGGAAUAGCCAGUGUAGAGGUGAAAUUCGUAGAUAUUGGCUGGAACACCGGUGGCGGAAGCGGCCCCCUGGCCCGGCCCUGACGCUGAGGCGCGAAAGCGUGGGGAGCAAACAGGAUUAGAUACCCUGGUAGUCCACGCCCUAAACGGUGCGAGCUGGGCGUCGGGGGGCUCGCCCCCCGGUGCCGGAGCCAACGCGGUAAGCUCGCCGCCUGGGGAGUACGGCCGCAAGGCUA
rnacentral:rRNA from 1 species